rnacentral:rRNA from 1 species
GGAUCAAUACGUCGGUCGUGCUUUUUUGGUACGCACUGGCGUCAUUGGUUUCUCCUUUCUGACGAACCAUGAUGUCAUUAAUUUGGUGUUAUGGGGAGUUAGGACUGUUACUUUGAAAAAAUUAGAGUGUUUAAAGCAGGCAUUAGCUUGAAUACAUUAGCAUGGAAUAAUGAAAUAGGACGUUCGAUCCUAUUUUGUUGGUUUCUAGGAUCAACGUAAUGAUUAAUAGGGAUAGUUGGGGGCAUUAGUAUUCAAUUGUCAGAGGUGAAAUUCUUGGAUUUAUUGAAGACUAACUACUGCGAAAGCAUUUGCCAAGGAUGUUUUCAUUAAUCAAGAACGAAAGUUAGGGGAUCGAAGACGAUCAGAUACCGUCGUAGUCUUAACCAUAAACUAUGCCGACUAGGGAUCGGAUGAUGUUAAUUUUUUAAUGACUCACUCGGCGCCUUACGGGAAACCAAAGUGUUUGGGUUCCGGGGGGAGUAUGGUCGCAAGGCUGAAACUUAAAGGAAUUGACGGAAGGGCACCACCAGGGGUGGAGCCUGCGGCUUAAUUUGACUCAACACGGGGAAACUCACCAGGUCCAGACAUAGUAAGGAUUGACAGAUUGAGAGC